GUCGAAAAUGUUGUCUCUCUUGAGUGGAUCCUGAGUACGACGGAGCACGUGAAAUUCCGUCGGAAUCUGGGAGGACCAUCUCCUAAGGCUAAAUACUCUCUAGUGACCGAUAGUGAACCAGUACCGUGAGGGAAAGGUGAAAAGCACCCCGGAAGGGGAGUGAAAUAGAACCUGAAACCGUGUGCUUACAAGUAGUCAGAGCCCGUUAAUGGGUGAUGGCGUGCCUUUUGUAGAAUGAACCGGCGAGUUACGAUUUGAUGCAAGGUUAAGCAGUAAAUGUGGAGCCGUAGCGAAAGCGAGUCUGAAUAGGGCGUUUAGUAUUUGGUCGUAGACCCGAAACCAGGUGAUCUACCCUUGGUCAGGUUGAAGUUCAGGUAACACUGAAUGGAGGACCGAACCGACUUACGUUGAAAAGUGAGCGGAUGAACUGAGGGUAGCGGAGAAAUUCCAAUCGAACCUGGAGAUAGCUGGUUCUCUCCGAAAUAGCUUUAGGGCUAGCCUCAAGUGAUGAUUAUUGGAGGUAGAGCACUGUUUGGACGAGGGGCCCCUCUCGGGUUACCGAAUUCAGACAAACUCCGAAUGCCAAUUAAUUUAACUUGGGAGUC
rnacentral:rRNA from 1 species